rnacentral:Y_RNA from 1 species
GGCUGGUCCAAUGGUAGUGAGUUAUCAAAACUUAUUACCAUUAGUGUCACUAAAGUUGGUAUACAACCCCCACUGCUCAAUUUGGCUAAAAA